rfam:Nicotiana attenuata strain TT scaffold06552, whole genome shotgun sequence.
AUGUUGAGGACUGUGACAUAGAGCACUGGCCGUUGAAUAAAUUCCGGCCAGUGCUCAUGUUACAGUUCCCACCAUU